rnacentral:rRNA from 1 species
UACGUAGGGGGCAAGCGUUGUCCGGAAUCAUUGGGCGUAAAGAGCGUGUAGGCGGCCCGGUAAGUCCGCUGUAAAAGUCAAAGGCUCAACCUUUGAAUGUCAGUGGAUACUGCCGGGCUAGAGUCCGGAAGAGGUGAGUGGAACUCCUGGUGUAGCGGUGGAAUGCGCAGAUAUCAGGAAGAACACCGACGGCGAAGGCAGCUCGCUGGGACGGUACUGACGCUGAGGCGCGAAAGCGUGGGGAGCGAACAGG